rnacentral:ncRNA from 1 species
GAUCUUGUGGCGUGAGUGUGUGAACCGAUCAUGUAGUAGACAAGCUGCGGAGGGACACAGUGAGGUAGCUCGUCCCCGGCGAUGGUUGUCCGGGGCUAAAUGUGUGGACUGUCUGGUAGGUAAAUCCGUCAGACGUGUGGUUGAGGCAUGAUGGCGAGCCAUGUUUGUGUGGUGAGCGAGUGAUCCUGUGCUGUCGAGAAAAGCUUCGUGAGCGAGGUGUGAGCCGCCCGUACCCUAAACCGACACUGGUGGAUUGGUAGAGUAUACCGAGGCGAUCGAGAGAAUCAUGGUGAAGGAACUCGGCAAAAUGCCCCCGUAACUUUGGAAGAAGGGGGACCUGAGCUGUUGCCGCCACGUGCUGGUGGUUGCGGUGAGGGGCGCAGAGAAUUGGGGGAAGCGACUGUUUACCAAAAACACAGGUCCGUGCGAAGUCGUAAGACGAUGUAUACGGACUGACUCCUGCCCGGUGCUGGAAGGUUAAGGGGAACUGUUAGCUUUGGCGACGCGGUGAACUUAAGCCCCAGUAAACGGCGGUGGUAACUAUAACCAUCCUAAGGUAGCGAAAUUCCUUGUCGGGUAAGUUCCGACCUGCACGAAUGGAGUAACGACUUCCCUACUGUCUCCACCAUGAACUCGGUGAAAUUGCAUUACGAGUAAAGAUGCUCGUUACGCGCAGCAGGACGGAAAGACCCCGGGACCUUCACUAUAGUUUGGUAUUGGUGAUCGGUUCGACUUGUGUAGGAUAGGUGGGAGACUGUGAAGCUGUCACGCUAGUGGUGGUGGAGUCGUUGGUGAAAUACCACUCUGGUCGUUCUGGUUAUCUAACGUUGGGCCAUGAUCUGGUUCACGGACAGUGCCUGAUGGGUAGUUUGACUGGGGCGGUCGCCUCCUAAAAGGUAACGGAGGCGCCCAAAGGUUCCCUCAUCCUGGUUGGUAAUCAGGUGUCGAGUGUAAGUGCACAAGGGAGCUUGACUGUGAGACAGACAUGUCGAGCAGGGACGAAAGUCGGGACUAGUGAUCUGACGGUGGCUUGUGGAAGUGCCGUCACUCAACGGAUAAAAGGUACCCCGGGGAUAACAGGCUGAUCUUGCCCGAGCGCUCACAGCGACGGCAUGGUUUGGCACCUCGAUGUCGGCUCGUCGCAUCCUGGGGCUGG